GACGAACGCUGGCGGCGUGCCUAAUACAUGCAAGUAGAACGCUGAAGAGAGGAGCUUGCUCUUCUUGGAUGAGUUGCGAACGGGUGAGUAACGCGUAGGUAACCUGCCUUGUAGCGGGGGAUAACUAUUGGAAACGAUAGCUAAUACCGCAUAACAAUGGAUGACACAUGUCAUUUAUUUGAAAGGGGCAAUUGCUCCACUACAAGAUGGACCUGCGCUGUAUUAGCUAGUAGGUGAGGUAAUGGCUCACCUAGGCGGCGAUACAUAGCCGACCUGAGAGGGUGAUCGGCCACACUGGGACUGAGACACGGCCCAGACUCCUACGGGAGGCAGCAGUAGGGAAUCUUCGGCAAUGGGGGCAACCCUGACCGAGCAACGCCGCGUGAGUGAAGAAGGUUUUCGGAUCGUAAAGCUCUGUUGUAAGUCAAGAACGGGUGUGAGAGUGGAAAGUUCACACUGUGACGGUAGCUUACCAGAAAGGGACGGCUAACUACGUG
rnacentral:rRNA from 1 species